GAUGAACGCUGGCGGCGUGCCUAAUACAUGCAAGUCGAACGAAACUUCUUUAUCACCGAGUGCUUGCACUCACCGAUAAAGAGUUGAGUGGCGAACGGGUGAGUAACACGUGGGCAACCUGCCCAAAAGAGGGGGAUAACACUUGGAAACAGGUGCUAAUACCGCAUAACCAUAGUUACCGCAUGGUAACUAUGUAAAAGGUGGCUAUACUACCGCUUUUGGAUGGGCCCGCGGCGCAUUAGCUAGUUGGUAGGGUAAAGGCUUACCAAGGCAAUGAUGCGUAGCCGAAUUGAGAGGUUGAUCGGCCACAUUGGGACUGAGACACGGCCCAAACUCCUACGGGAGGCAGCAGUAGGGAAUCUUCCACAAUGGGCGAAAGCCUGAUGGAGCAACGCCGCGUGGGUGAAGAAGGUCUUCGGAUCGUAAAACCCCGUUGUUAGAGAAGAAAGUGCGUGAGAGUAACUGUUCACGUUUCGACGGUAUCUAACCAGAAAGCCACUGCUAACUACGUG
rnacentral:rRNA from 1 species